rnacentral:misc_RNA from 1 species
GACCGGGUCUUAGUAUAUACGAGUUUUUUAAAAAAGAAAAAAAAGGAGCAAUACCGCCCUCUUGAUAGAACAAGAAAGGGGUUAUUGCUCCUUUUUUUUCUUUUUUUUAGUAGUAUUUACCUAGUUUGUUUAAAAAAAUUGAGACAAACGUUUUUUUUUCUGUUUAUGGGUUCGUUCAUGAUUGAGUAUCAUACUUUCAUUUUAUACAAUUUGGCUACCUUCUUCCCAACAUUUUGGGAAGGAUUUCUUAAAAAAAAUGUUGUAAAUUUUUACUUAUUUUAAAUUGAAGACUUUUUUAUCUAAAAAAAAUCUUUUUGAAUGAUCAAAAAGGAAUCUUUUGAAAUGCAAAUAAAAGAAAACUAGGG